rfam:Picea glauca, whole genome shotgun sequence.
GUCAGGAUGGCCGAGUGGUCUAAGGCGCCAGACUCAAGUUCUGGUCCUCAUUUGAGGGCGUGGGUUCAAAUCCCACUUCUGACA